GACGAACGCUGGCGGCGUGCUUAACACAUGCAAGUCGAACGGAAAGGCCCUGCUUUUGUGGGGUGCUCGAGUGGCGAACGGGUGAGUAACACGUGAGUAACCUGCCCUUGACUUUGGGAUAACUUCAGGAAACUGGGGCUAAUACCGGAUAGGAGCUCCUGCUGCAUGGUGGGGGUUGGAAAGUUUCGGCGGUUGGGGAUGGACUCGCGGCUUAUCAGCUUGUUGGUGGGGUAGUGGCUUACCAAGGCUUUGACGGGUAGCCGGCCUGGGAGGGUGACCGGCCACAUUGGGACUGAGAUACGGCCCAGACGCGUACGGGAGGCAGCAGUGGGGAAUAUUGCACAAUGGGCGGAAGCCUGAUGCAGCAACGCCGCGUGCGGGAUGACGGCCUUCGGGUUGUAAACCGCUUUCGCCUGUGACGAAGCGUGAGUGACGGUAAUGGGUAAAGAAGCACCGGCUAACUACGUG
rnacentral:rRNA from 1 species